GAGUUUGAUCAUGGCUCAGAUUGAACGCUGGCGGCAGGCCUAACACAUGCAAGUCGAACGGUAACAUGACUAGCUUGCUAGUUGAUGACGAGUGGCGGACGGGUGAGUAACGCGUAGGAAUCUACCCAGUAGCGGGGGAUAAGCCAGAGAAAUUUGGUCUAAUACCGCAUACGCCCUUCGGGGGAAAGCAGGGGAUCUUCGGACCUUGCACUAUUGGAUGAGCCUGCGUGAGAUUAGCUUGUUGGUGAGGUAAUGGCUCACCAAGGCGACGAUCUCUAGCUGGUCUGAGAGGAUGAUCAGCCACACUGGAACUGAGACACGGUCCAGACUCCUACGGGAGGCAGCAGUGGGGAAUAUUGCACAAUGGGCGCAAGCCUGAUGCAGCCAUGCCGCGUGUGUGAAGAAGGCCCUAGGGUUGUAAAGCACUUUCAGCAGUGAGGAAAGGUUAGUAGUUAAUACCUGCUAGCUGUGACGUUAACUGCAGAAGAAGCACCGGCUAACUCCGUGCCAGCAGCCGCGGUAAUACGGAGGGUGCGAGCGUUAAUCGGAAUUACUGGGCGUAAAGCGCGCGU
rnacentral:rRNA from 1 species